CCACUAGAAAAACAGCCCAAUCAGGGAUUUUACUGCUGACCUAUCCACAGCCACCCUUGCAGCUUGGGGAAGGGAACGCUUGUCUUUGGAUUGGAGGAUGGUUUAAGAGAGUAAGGGUAUGAAGGUAUUUCUGGAGCUGAAAGUCAACAAAUUGAGAACUGGCACACACACCCCAAAAUAUUUCUGUGCUAGAUACAUCUUCCUACAGAUACUUUAAAAAGAUGGGAUAACUUUUCUAUGAGAACAAAGAGGAUGACAUAGCAGUCAAGGAAAAUAUUAGAAGAUAUUUCUUGCCUGUCUGUUCACCAACACACUUCUGCAAGGCCCAGGCACUGUCUGUGUGUUUAUUGAGGAUAGAGGACCAAAAGAAAAUGGUCUUUUCUUUACCCCAAAGGAAAUUGUAUUCCCCUUCACCUCACCUCUACUCCAAGGAAAAGAACUGUUUUCUAACCAACUGAGGGCUACUUUGUAUUUUAACUUUAUUAGGCCUUUGUGAAAUAAAAUGUUCAGUUUUUGGCAAUGUUUUAUAUCAUCAUGUGGUGUGAGUCCUAAAUUCAAGGCCCCUUAAUAUGUGCUAUCUUGAUAUGUGCUGAAAUUGGGAGGGUCUCCAACGGCCUAAACACAAGUUCUCCUCCUGACUCUGCUCCCAAGAAUGAGGUCCCCUAACUACCCUCCUUAUCAAAGGCACCAGGGCAGUUCCUGCUUUAUUCCAGAGUAGCAGAUUUCAGUUCUCUGCCAGCCCAUGGAAUUAUUUAAACAAGCCAAUUACAUCCUCCUGGGAAACCAGGGAUCACCCCACUCUUUGAAUACCUCAAAGUCUGCUUCCCAGAGCCCUUCGUUGUGCUGUCUGUACCCAAAUGUAACCCCAAUGUGGCCUGUAUAGCUUGCCAUGUCCUCCUCCCCAGGCUGUGAACAUCUGUAACUAAUAAACUGCUGUUGGCCUCAUCUGACCGGUGUUGGAUGUCAUGUGUUGGAUAAUCCCCAGAACCCUAUGGCAGGAAUCCUUACUUCAACAGUGGCGUAAAUAAGAGGCAAUUGAAACAUCAUAUGCUGAACGACUCUCUAAUGAUUCCACAUUACUUAGGAAGGUAGUAAAGUCAGGGAAUCCUAUAACUAAUCCUAUAACUUCAUCAUUUGCAGGGCUCUUAUGAGCAGUGAUGUACAGGUAGCUGCUACUUCUUAAUCUUUCCUACCCUACUUACCCACCCCUGUACUGUACUCUUUAACAAUAUAUAAAUUGUCCACCUUUUCCUCCUGGUGUGAACUCUUUAUGUUUAGAGCAUAUGACAUUUGACCUUCAAACAGGCCAAAUAUACUUAACUCCUUUUAAGUCUAAUGGUCUCUAUUUUCUAUCCCUUUACUUUUUUCGAUUGUUCUACACUAACAAUUUCUAAUUAUUUCCCAUAUUUAUUAUAGUAUCAUGACUCAAAAGAGUAACAGUAUUAUGUUGACAGAAUGACUCUUGUAGAGAAAAAUUUGAAAUUAACAUCUGAGUCAUGUUUGUAAAAU
rnacentral:lncRNA from 10 species